rnacentral:rRNA from 2 species
UACGUAGGGGGCAAGCGUUGUCCGGAUUUACUGGGUGUAAAGGGCGCGCAGGCGGGUUAGCAAGUCAGAGGUGAAAUCCUACAGCUUAACUGUAGAACUGCCUUUGAAACUGUUAAUCUUGAGUGCGGAAGAGAGAGACGGAAUUCCAGGUGUAGCGGUGAAAUGCGUAGAUAUCUGGAAGAACACCAGUAGCGAAGGCGGUCUCUUGGUCCGUUACUGACGCUCAGGCGCGAAAGCGUGGGGAGCAAACAGG